ensembl:lncRNA
AUGGGCUGUAUGGAGAACACUGUGCACCGAGGAUGGUUUACUACAGGAGAUGGACUGUAUGGAGAACACUGCACUGAGGAUGGUUUACUACAGGAGAUGGACUGUAUGGAGAACACUGCACCGAGGAUGGUUUACUACAGGAGAUGGGCUGUAUGGAGAACACUGUGCACCGAGGAUGGUUUACUACAGGAGAUGGGCUGUAUGGAGAACACUGUGCACCGAAGAUGGUUUACUACAGGAGAUGGACUGUAUGGAGAACACUGUGCACCGAAGAUGGUUUACUACAGGAGAUGGGCUGUAUGGAGAACACUGUGCACCGAAGAUGGUUUACUACAGGAGAUGGGCUGUAUGGAGAACACUGUGCACCGAGGAUGGUUUACUACAGGAGAUGGGCUGUAUGGACAACACUGUGCACCGAAGAUGGUUUACUACAGGAGAUGGACUGUAUGGAGAACACUAUGCACCGAGGAUGGUUUACUACAGGAGAUGGACUGUAUGGAGAACACUGCACUGAGGAUGGUUUACUACAGGAGAUGGGCUGUAUGGAGAACACUGCACCGAGGAUGGUUUACUACAGGAGAUGGACUGUAUGGAGAACACUGCACUGAGGAUGGUUUACUACAGGAGAUGGGCUGUAUGGAGAACACUGUGCACCGAAGAUGGUUUACUACAGGAGAUGGACUGUAUGGAGAACACUGUGCACCGAAGAUGGUUUACUACAGGAGAUGGACUGUAUGGAGAACACUGUGCACCGAAGAUGGUUUACUACAGGAGAUGGACUGUAUGGAGAACACUGUGCACCGAAGAUGGUUUACUACAGGAGAUGGACUGUAUGGAGAACACUGUGUACCGAGGAUGGUUUACUACAGGAGAUGGACUGUAUGGAGAACACUGCACCGAGGAUGGUUUACUACAGGAGAUGGGCUGUAUGGAGAACACUAUGCACCGAGGAUGGUUUACUACAGGAGAUGGGCUGUAUGGAGAACACUGUGUACCGAGGAUGGUUUACUACAGGAGAUGGGCUGUAUGGAGAACACUGUGCACCGAGGAUGGUUUACUACAGGAGAUGGGCUGUAUGGAGAACACUGCACUGAGGAUGGUUUACUACAGGAGAUGGACUGUAUGGAGAACACUAUGCACCGAAGAUGGUUUACUACAGGAGAUGGACUGUAUGGAGAACACUGCACUGAGGAUGGUUUACUACAGGAGAUGGACUGUAUGGAGAACACUAUGCACCGAAGAUGGUUUACUACAGGAGAUGGACUGUAUGGAGAACACUGCACUGAGGAUGGUUUACUACAGGAGAUGGGCUGUAUGGAGAACACUGCACCGAGGAUGGUUUACUACAGGAGAUGGGCUGUAUGGAGAACACUGUGCACCGAAGAUGGUUUACUACAGGAGAUGGGCUGUAUGGAGAACACUGCACCGAGGAUGGUUUACUACAGGAGAUGGACUGUAUGGAGAACACUAUGCACCGAAGAUGGUUUACUACAGGAGAUGGGCUGUAUGGAGAACACUGCACCGAAGAUGGUUUACUACAGGAGAUGGACUGUAUGGAGAACACUGUGCACCGAAGAUGGUUUACUACAGGAGAUGGACUGUAUGGAGAACACUGUGCACCGAAGAUGGUUUACUACAGGAGAUGGACUGUAUGGAGAACACUAUGCACCGAAGAUGGUUUACUACAGGAGAUGGGCUGUAUGGAGAACACUAUGCACCGAAGAUGGUUUACUACAGGAGAUGGACUGUAUGGACAACACUGUGCACCGAAGAUGGUUUACUACAGGAGAUGGACUGUAUGGAGAACACUAUGCACCGAAGAUGGUUUACUGCAGGGUGUCUCAACCUUUUUUAUAA